AGAGCGAACGCUGGCGGCAUGCUUAACACAUGCAAGUCGCACGGGCAGGGGAAACCCUGUCAGUGGCGGACGGGUGAGUAACGCGUAGGUAUCUAUCCUUGGGUGGGGGACAACGGCUGGAAACGGCUGCUAAUACCGCAUGAUGACCGAGGUCUAAAGGCGCAAGUCGCCUGGGGAGGAGCCUGCGUACGAUUAGCUUGUUGGUGGGGUAAAGGCCUACCAAGGCUACGAUCGUUAGCUGGUCUGAGAGGAUGAUCAGCCACAUUGGGACUGAGACACGGCCCAAACUCCUACGGGAGGCAGCAGUGGGGAAUAUUGGACAAUGGGCGCAAGCCUGAUCCAGCAAUGCCGCGUGUGUGAAGAAGGUCUUCGGAUUGUAAAGCACUUUCGACGGGGACGAUGAUGACGGUACCCGUAGAAGAAGCCCGGCUACUUCGUGCCAGCAGCCGC
rnacentral:rRNA from 1 species